rnacentral:snoRNA from 1 species
ACCCUCUCAGGAUUGUAUCUGGAGAGUUUCCAGUACUCUACCAGUCUCAACUACAGGAGGGAAGUCAAGAAGAGGCCUACCCAUUCCAUUCCUAGCUUGGCCGGUGGCUAGCGAGUGGAAGGCAAUCUGCUGCAAGU